CUGCUUUACUUAUUCUACCUAUCCAAUAUUUAUACUUCCUAUGUUUUACCUCUUUUAUAUUUCGUUAACAUGUUUAACGAUUACUCGCUUUACUGCUCGUUACCCACCUGAAUCAAAACUGAGUCAACUUCAUAUUUUUUAACCAUCCUAAUUAUUAUAGUACACUACUUGUCCCUAUCACCUUUAACGUACUCCAGCACACUCAAUUCAAAUCAACUUCAAAUUUUUCAUCCGUUUUAUUCACUCAUGCACACUACAUCCCCUUAUUAUACUUACUGCAUCCCAACACACUCACUUCCACUCAUUUCAGUGUUUUGUCCAUCUUCACUACCACACUACACUACUCAUUCUUCCCGACGACAUAUCACUCAACAAACUUUUUCAAUAAUUUUUUUUUCU